AUCUAGCUGACGAGUCCCAAACAGAACGAAACCCCUAUCCUGAAU
rnacentral:hammerhead_ribozyme from 1 species